CAGCAGCCGCGGUAAUACGAAGGGGGCGAGCGUUGCUCGGAAUGACUGGGCGUAAAGGGCGCGUAGGUGGUACGGACAGUCAGAUGUGAAAUUCCCGGGCUCAACCUGGGGGCUGCAUUUGAUACGUCCGAACUAGAGUGUGGAAGAGGGUCGUGGAAUUCCCAGUGUAGAGGUGAAAUUCGUAGAUAUUGGGAAGAACACCGGUGGCGAAGGCGGCGACCUGGUCCAUUACUGACGCUGAGGCGCGAAAGCGUGGGGAGCAAACAGGGUUAGAUACCCCGGUAGUCCCUGUCUCUUAUAC
rnacentral:rRNA from 1 species